GAUGAAGAACGCAGCGAAAUGCGAUAAGUAAUGUGAAUUGCAGAAUUCAGUGAAUCAUCGAAUCUUUGAACGCACAUUGCGCCCGCUAGUAUUCUGGCGGGCAUGCCUGUCCGAGCGUCAUUUCAACCCUCAAGCCCCCGGGCUUGGUGUUGGGGAUCGGCGAGCCUCCGCGCCCGCCGUCCCCUAAUCUAGUGGCGGUCUCGCUGUAGCUUCCUCUGCGUAGUAGCACACCUCGCACUGGGAAACAGCGCGGCCACGCCGUUAAACCCCCAACUUCUGAACGUUUGACCUCGGAUCAGGUAGGAAUACCCGCUGAACUUAAGCAUAUCAAUAAGCGGAGGA
rnacentral:misc_RNA from 1 species